GACGAACGCUGGCGGCGUGCUUAACACAUGCAAGUCGUACGGUAAGGCCCUUUCGGGGGUACACGAGUGGCGAACGGGUGAGUAACACGUGAGUAACCUGCCCACAACUUUGGGAUAACGCUAGGAAACUGGUGCUAAUACUGGAUAUGUGCUCCUGCUGCAUGGUGGGGGUUGGAAAGCUCCGGCGGUUGUGGAUGGACUCGCGGCCUAUCAGCUUGUUGGUGGGGUAGUGGCCUACCAAGGCGGCGACGGGUAGCCGGCCUGAGAGGGUGACCGGCCACAUUGGGACUGGGAAACGGCCCAGACUCCUACGGGGGGCAGCAGGGGGGAAUAUUGCAAAAUGGGCGCAAGCCUGAUGCAGCAACGCCGCGUGCGGGAUGACGGCCUUCGGUUUGUAACCCGCUUUCAGCAGGGACGAAGCUUUUUGUGACGGUACCUGCAGAAGAAGCCCCGGCUAACUACGG
rnacentral:rRNA from 1 species